rnacentral:rRNA from 1 species
AUUGAACGCUGGCGGUAGGCCUAACACAUGCAAGUCGAGCGGAUGAAGGGAGCUUGCUCCUGGAUUCAGCGGCGGACAGGUGAGUAAUGCCUAGGAAUCUGCCUGGUAGUGGGGGAUAACGUCCGGAAACGGGCGCUAAUACCGCAUACGUCCUGAGGGAGAAAGUGGGGGAUCUUCGGACCUCACGCUAUCAGAUGAGCCUAGGUCGGAUUAGCUAGUUGGUGGGGUAAAGGCCUACCAAGGCGACGAUCCGUAACUGGUCUGAGAGGAUGAUCAGUCACACUGGAACUGAGACACGGUCCAGACUCCUACGGGAGGCAGCAGUGGGGAAUAUUGGACAAUGGGCGAAAGCCUGAUCCAGCCAUGCCGCGUGUGUGAAGAAGGUCUUCGGAUUGUAAAGCACUUUAAGUUGGGAGGAAGGGCAGUAAGUUAAUACCUUGCUGUUUUGACGUUACCAACAGAAUAAGCACCGGCUAACUUCGUG